UGGUCUUACAAAGAAGGUAGUAGUACGAGCUUGCCAGGAAGGCAGAUUGUUCAGGUAUAUUAGCAAAGCCAGACUUAUAUAAGUUGCUUUAUGCAUUUGAAAUGCAUCAACAUAACUGGAGAAGAGCAGCAUGCUACAUGUACCUAUAUUCUGCUCGUUUGAGAAAAGAAACAGCUCUGAGAGAUUACCAGCACACGUCAUUGGCACUAAAGGAGAUUCUGAAUUGGCUCUCUGCUGCUAUCAAUGCACUUCAUCUUGUUCAUCCGGCCAACGCUUGGAUUGAUCCUCUACUCUGGAGAAUUCUCUUCAAAACGAGCACUAUCCAAGUGAAAAGGCUAGAAUUACAAUAGAUGAACAGAGCAAAUAAUGCAACAACCAAAAGUUUGUUUUAAUUGUGUGUACAUCUUUAAUUGUUGUCACGAGUCACAACUACCAUAUGUAUCUGAUAGAUUGAAUACCCAUAACUUUUACCUGCUACCUACCUAUGUGAAAAAAUUUCUUGCAGACCAACAAUUUUUUCAAAAGCAAUGAACGCACAUACAUACAGGCUGAUUUUGAAAUCCCAUAUACAUACAAUUACAUUUAUAUGUACCUCAUUUAGAACUGUCUAAUAUAAUAUUUGCUUUGUCCACAUUUGCAUUAUAUACUGUUCUGUUUUGAGGCAGUCACAAGUUUUAUUUUUAUUGCAGCUGCCAGCAACAAUGCUCAUCCUCAGACAGGGAAAUCUUAUAUUGAUAUUGAGAAGAUUGAGGAUGAGUUUAUGCUUACUUCAGCAGAAUAUUUGCUUUCGUUGGCAAAUAUCAAACCUGCAUCUAGUGAUGAAAGUAGACGAGGAAGAUGCGGUUUCUGCUUUAAGUUGAGAGAUUUUCGGUUGUCCAACAAGAUGGAUGGACACACUUUGAAUUCAACCCUGAAGUUGAGCAUCAGCUGCAGUAUGAUAUGCAUGACUUGUUAACAGACAAUGCUAUCAAGUUACAGUGGUUAUUGAAAGUGAGCGGUGACUAUUUUGUGGUUGAGAAUCGUCCGCCCCCCACCCCCGCUCUCUUAAUAGUAACUCGCAUAGUUAAAAGCAAAGUGAAAUGGGCUGGAAGGGCAAAACCAUUGCUUGUUUGGCGUGAUUAUUUGCAGCACUAUCAACAGAAGAUGAAAAGAACAACAAACCGCAUACGAAACUAGUGAAACCUACUCAUUCAACAAAAGAACAACAAGCCGCAGCAUUCCAAUGCCAACAUUUCCAAUUCAACCCAUAGAUAUCAACCUCCAUACAGAUUAGUAAUUGCUAGUUUAUGAACAAACCAACCAUCUCCAACUUAUUUCUCAGUAAAAAAAAUUCUUUGCCUUAUAAUAAUAGCAUUCCGUUGACUGGCCCUUCUUAAUUGUCGAAAUCUCAGUCCCACCGUUAAACAUAGUUGAUCGGAGAAACCCCAGAAUGGACCACCCGGUCGAGGAAGAGCCCGGAAAAAUCCGACUUUAUGCCGAUACCUUUAUACCAAACCUUCAGCUUGAGUCCAAAUCUCGCCAGAGCGCCAGAGGCAGAGCCAUCGGCCCUAAGCCCGAUCAUGUUGCUUGUAUUUAUACUUUCAUUUAUCUUCUAGGGUUUUCUCUUCUAAUUUGUUUUUCUUGGGGGUGACUCAUACAUUGAUACUCUUACAAGAUUUUUCUGUAUGCUUAUUUCUGCCUUCAAAACACUUUCAUAUCUUUGAUUUAGCUUGAGUUAUAGUGUUUGACGUACUGUGUAUUCCUUUCUCAGACUAUUCCGGGUCUUUGUUGGGAGCUGGCUCAACUCCAAGACACAUACAUACUGCAAGGUGAUUAUGACUUAAGGGUCAUGCGACAAGAAUAUUACAUUAACUGGCAGAAAGCGUUUAUAAACCAUCUUGUUAAUCAGCUUGCAAGGCAUCAGUUCUUAAAAUGGCUUGUCAGUUGGAAAAGAAAAACAUGCUCGGAUCAUACUCCUUGCUUAAAGUUAUUGAAUCUGAGGUGCAUGCCUACCUAUCAGCAACAAAAGGCCGUGUUGGGUCGUUGCCCGGCAUUAAUUCAAGCGACAUCUGAUGUAAGGAGGAGUGGAUGAUCAGGAUCACUUUUUGCAUGGUGUUAGUGUUGGAAAGUAAUAAGUUUAGGAUUUGGACUCGGCCUGUUAGAAUUAGGUUUUGUUAGAGAUUAGGGUUUAGUUUAUUAUAAAUAGGAUGCAUGUUAUUCACUUUAGAACAAACAUGUCACAAUGUAGUCUCGUGGAGUUUUGUAGCCGUUUUGGCAUUCUUAUUUAUUUAAUAAUAUUCUGAUUUUGUAGUCUAGUACUAUGAUAUUCAACGAUAGAGAUCUUUUAAGUAUCCAUUCAAAUGCUCAAGUUGGGCUAUCAACAUAUGUAUCAGCUCCGGGUAUUUUGCAGCAGAUAUCUAGUCUUCCUUCAGACUUGAUGACCCUUCAGUCUGAUCUUGAGAAUUCACGUCCAGAGGACAGAAAUAGUUGUGUAAAUGAGUUGUGCACUUUAAUUCAAAUUUGCAGUAAUUGCUAUUUGCGUCUUCGACAACCGCACAACCUUAUACUGACCGCACGGCCAUUGCUGAAAGAGCUUGAUGAAAUGGAGAAAAUAAAUGCGAAUCUCUCUGCUGCAGUUGAAGAGGUGACAUUGGAGCAUCGUAAGAAAAAUGAGGUAACUGCUUUCUGGCGCAUAUAUUGGUUUAGUUAACUACUUUCUGGACCUUAAUCGUGUUAUAAAUAUUGGAAAAAUGUAUGGCAUGCAAAUUGUAAAACAUCAUGCCAAGGAAAUUGAGCUUCAACGAGGUGUCUUUGUUGAGUUCUUUUGUAAUCCUGAUCGUCUGAGGAGUCAAGUUUGGGAGCUAACUACGCGCGUCAGAGCUUUGCAGGUUUCAUAACUUAUGCAUAUAUAUUGUCCCGGCUUAUUUGUGUGUGCAGUAAAGAGAGAGGUUGAGCUCAGUCACUGUAUUUAUCAAAGCCAUGGAUGGUCUUUUUACUCAAAUUCAAAAGUUCAAUCUCAAUAAUUGUGAUUCUAUUUUCA